AAGAGCCGAAUGAAGUGAGAGUUUCACGUACUGCUCCGUGAGAGCGCAUGAGGAAAGUUCUCAUGUGCUCUCGAC
rnacentral:ncRNA from 1 species